UACGAAGGGGGCUAGCGUUGCUCGGAAUUAUUGGGCGUAAAGAGCUCGUAGGCGGUUCGUCGCGUCGGCUGUGAAAACCUGAGGCUCAACCUCAGGCCUGCAGUCGAUACGGGCGGACUUGAGUACUGCAGGGGAGACUGGAAUUCCUGGUGUAGCGGUGAAAUGCGCAGAUAUCAGGAGGAACACCGGUGGCGAAGGCGGGUCUCUGGGCAGUAACUGACGCUGAGGAGCGAAAGCGUGGGGAGCGAACAGG
rnacentral:rRNA from 1 species